rnacentral:lncRNA from 1 species
GUACUAAUCACAGUGACUCUGGUGCCGAAGGCCUUGGCGAACUUGACAGCGAGAUGCCCCAGGCCGCCAAGCCCCACAACCCCCACGUUGAGGCCCGGCUUGUCGAGGCCGAAGUACCUCAGGGGGCUGUAAGUAGUGAUGCCGGCACACAGCAGAGGCGCGCCCUUGUCCAUGGGUAGAGACUCGGGCCAUUGGAUGAUGAAGUGCUCGUCCGCCACCAUCACAUCGGAGUAGCCGCCGUAUGUGAUGCUUCCGUCCAAGUAAGGCAUGCUGUAUGUGAGGAUCUGUUUGGAGCAGUAGUUUUCCAGAUCGUUUGAGCAUUGCGAGCAUUGCCGGCACGAUCCCACCAAGCAUCCCACGCCCACUUUGUCUCCUACCUUCACUUUCUCAACCUUGUUGCCUACCUCUGUUACUAUGCCCACGAUCUCAUGCCUGCAUCAAACAUUCAUCACGCCAAUUCAUUUACUUUGCAACAAUUCGUGUACAACACAUAUGAGUAGCCACCAAAAGAAACAUAACUAAUCCAAUCAAUUUCAAUUAUUAUUCAUAAUAGUCAGAUCACGACUUUGAAAAAACACUUGAAACUAGAUUUCCUAAAUCACCACAUCAAAAUCCUUGAACUCAUCAAAAAUAAAAUAAAAAACUAUGAAUCAAGCGUGCUACAAAUAUUAACAGAGAGAGAGGGAAUGUUUACCCAGGAACAAUAGGGUAGUGUGUGAAGCCCCACUCGUUCUUGAUCAUGUGAAGAUCGGAAUGGCAGACGCCGCAGUAGAGAACUUUGAACUGCACAUCACGCUCGCCAGUUGCCCUGCAACCAACACACCAUAUACAUAUAAAACACUUUUACGCAACAAAGAUUUGAGUAAAAUGGAAACACUGAACACAAGGCUGAGUUAUGGUAGAGUGGAGACCUUCUUGAGAAGUUGAAAGGAGACAUAACUCCAGAUGUAUCUCUCGAAGCCCACCCAACGACCUUCACCGGGUGCUCUGCUUCUGCUGAUUUCGCCAUUACCAAACUUUUUUUUUCGAAGAUAUAUUACGGAUGCUUACUGGAUCCACAGACCAAGGUGGAAGGAGUGGUAUUUAUAGCCAUAGGCCCUUGGGAUUUACAAUAUAUAAUAAAUGUUGCCGUCGUGAGCAAUGACAUCCUAAUACCUAGCAUAAAUUAUUACACAAUUCAAAUCUAAAUCCAUGUUAUAUACUAUAAAAAAAGAAAAACAUGAAGAACCUUCGAAAGUACAGGCGCAUUCAAGGGUCCAGCCUCAUUAAAACCUUUCUACAGAGAACCCAAUGAAAAAAACCGUAGAAAAGAAAAAGAGUGCUGGUCUAUAAGACGAAAAAAUGUUGGGAGAGCAAGAGGAUUGUUUCAGAAAUUCCAGCCUAACCAUCAUCCCCGGCUCAACCCACAUAAGAACGACAAAAAUAAAUAAAGACCACACCAAGACAACUAGAAGACAAGCCCAAGCAAGCGAAGGCGACAAAAACGACCCUAAGUCUAGAUCCAUAUUAUAAUAUGUUGUUGGAUAUAAACACUAAUUUGAUUUUGUUCACAUGACUCUCCAAGUUAUUGUGUGUUUCUCACUAGAGAUGGAAAUUGUGAAUUCAGCCUAAACAAUUUUAAUAUUUUUUUAAAUUGAUCCAUGUAGUAUGAUGAGGCUUUUUUUUGUUUUUUCAGAAUAAGAUGAGGCUUUUCAAAAUUCUCUUCUCCCAUACUCCCACAAUCAAAUUUCAAGUACGCAAGUAUCUCAAAAAAAAAUAAAAAAAAUAAAAAUAAAAAUAAAAAAAUUGAGUACGUGUUGUACAACUAGUCAACUACAUAUGAUUCAGUGUUAACAAGUGAGUUAUUCCUUUUAUUCUGGUCACAAGAUUUGUGCAUGAAUAUUUAAAAAUAAAUAAUUUAUAAUAAAAUAAUUAAGAGAAAUUAAUUUUUUUAGAAUAUAUUUAUCAAAAAAGUAAGAGAGAUAAUA